rnacentral:rRNA from 1 species
CAGCAGCCGCGGUAAUACGUAGGGUGCGAGCGUUAAUCGGAAUUACUGGGCGUAAAGCGUGCGCAGGCGGUUCGUUAAGACAGAUGUGAAAUCCCCGGGCUUAACCUGGGAACUGCAUUUGUGACUGGCGAGCUAGAGUAUGGCAGAGGGGGGUAGAAUUCCACGUGUAGCAGUGAAAUGCGUAGAGAUGUGGAGGAAUACCGAUGGCGAAAGCGGCUCACUGGACCAUUUCUGACGCUGAUGCACGAAAGCUAGGGGAGCAAACAGGAUUAGAUACCCCGGUAGUCCCUGUCUCUUAUAA